CCAAAGUCAUGGUUAAGUGGGAAACGAUGUGGGAAGGCCCAGACAGCCAGGAUGUUGGCUUAGAAGCAGCCAUCAUUUAAAGAAAGCGUAAUAGCUCACUGGUCGAGUCGGCCUGCGCGGAAGAUGUAACGGGGCUAAACCAUGCACCGAAGCUGCGGCAGCGACGCUGAUGCGUUGUUGGGUAGGGGAGCGUUCUGUAAGCCUGCGAAGGUGUGUCGUGAGGCAUGCUGGAGGUAUCAGAAGUGCGAAUGCUGACAUAAGUAACGAUAAAGCGGGUGAAAAGCCCGCUCGCCGGAAGACCAAGGGUUCCUGUCCAACGUUAAUCGGGGCAGGGUGAGUCGACCCCUAAGGCGAGGCCGAAAGGCGUAGUCGAUGGGAAACGGGUUAAUAUUCCCGUACUUGGUGUUACUGCGAAGGGGGGACGGAGAAGGCUAUGUUGGCCGGGCGACGGUUGUCCCGGUUUAAGCGUGUAGGUGUGUGUUCCAGGUAAAUCCGGUUCACUUUAACACUGAGGCGUGAUGACGAGGCACUACGGUGCUGAAGCAACAAAUGCCCUGCUUCCAGGAAAAGCCUCUAAGCAUCAGGUAACAUCAAAUCGUACCCCAAACCGACACAGGUGGUCAGGUAGAGAAUACCAAGGCGCUUGAGAGAACUCGGGUGAAGGAACUAGGCAAAAUGGUGCCGUAACUUCGGGAGAAGGCACGCUGACACGUAGGUGAAGUGAUUUACUCAUGGAGCUGAAGUCAGUCGAAGAUACCAGCUGGCUGCAACUGUUUAUUAAAAACACAGCACUGUGCAAACACGAAAGUGGACGUAUACGGUGUGACGCCUGCCCGGUGCCGGAAGGUUAAUUGAUGGGGUCAGCGCAAGCGAAGCUCCUGAUCGAAGCCCCGGUAAACGGCGGCCGUAACUAUAACGGUCCUAAGGUAGCGAAAUUCCUUGUCGGGUAAGUUCCGACCUGCACGAAUGGCGUAAUGAUGGCCAGGCUGUCUCCACCCGAGACUCAGUGAAAUUGAACUCGCUGUGAAGAUGCAGUGUACCCGCGGCAAGACGGAAAGACCCCGUGAACCUUUACUAUAGCUUGACACUGAACAUUGAGCCUUGAUGUGUAGGAUAGGUGGGAGGCUUUGAAGUGUGGACGCCAGUCUGCAUGGAGCCGGCCUUGAAAUACCACCCUUUAAUGUUUGAUGUUCUAACGUGGACCCGUGAUCCGGGUUGCGGACAGUGUCUGGUGGGUAGUUUGACUGGGGCGGUCUCCUCCUAAAGAGUAACGGAGGAGCACGAAGGUUGGCUAAUCCUGGUCGGACAUCAGGAGGUUAGUGCAAUGGCAUAAGCCAGCUUGACUGCGAGCGUGACGGCGCGAGCAGGUGCGAAAGCAGGUCAUAGUGAUCCGGUGGUUCUGAAUGGAAGGGCCAUCGCUCAACGGAUAAAAGGUACUCCGGGGAUAACAGGCUGAUACCGCCCAAGAGUUCAUAUCGACGGCGGUGUUUGGCACCUCGAUGUCGGCUCAUCACAUCCUGGGGCUGAAGUAGGUCCCAAGGGUAUGGCUGUUCGCCAUUUAAAGUGGUACGCGAGCUGGGUUUAGAACGUCGUGAGACAGUUCGGUCCCUAUCUGCCGUGGGCGCUGGAGAACUGAGGGGGGCUGCUCCUAGUACGAGAGGACCGGAGUGGACGCAUCACUGGUGUUCGGGUUGUCAUGCCAAUGGCACUGCCCGGUAGCUAAAUGCGGAAGAGAUAAGUGCUGAAAGCAUCUAAGCACGAAACUUGCCCCGAGAUGAGUUCUCCCUGAGACUUAGAGUCUCCUGAAGGAACGUUGAAGACGACGACGUUGAUAGGCCGGGUGUGUAAGCGCAGCGAUGCGUUGAGCUAACCGGUACUAAUGAACCGUGAGGCUUAACCUUACA
rnacentral:rRNA from 1 species